rnacentral:rRNA from 1 species
UUCGGGGUGAGCGGCGGACGGGUUAGUAACGCGUGGGAACGUACCCUUUGGUAGGGAAUAGCCACUGGAAACGGUGAGUUAAUACCCUAUGAGCCCUUCGGGGGAAAGAUUUAUCGCCAAAAGGAUCGGGCCCGCGUUUAGAUUUAGGUAGUUGGUGGGGUAAAUGGCCUACCAAGCCUACGAUCUAUAGCUGGUUUUAGAGGAUGAUCAGCAACACUGGGACUGAGACACGGCCCAGACUCCUACGGGAGGCAGCAGUUGGGGAAUCUUGGACAAUGGGGGCAACCCUGAUCCAGCCAUGCCGCGUGAGUGAAGAAGGCCUUAGGGUCGUAAAGCUCUUUCGCCUGUGAAGAUAAUGACGGUAGCAGGUAAAGAAACCCCGGCUAACUCCGUGCCAGCCGCGGC